rfam:Schistosoma mansoni strain Puerto Rico chromosome 6, complete genome
AUCCUGCUGACGACUCCGAUACAGAACGAAACGCGCGUCUUGGAU